rnacentral:lncRNA from 1 species
UGGACUUUUAUUAUAUGAAAUUAAAACUGAUAUGAAACGAAAAUUUGGGAGUCUGAAUCAUAGUUCAUCUAAAUUGGCAAAAUUCAUAACAACAUUCUCUGCCACAUCAAGUAAACUCUCGUCUCUGUAUCAAGAGGCAAAGCUGAGCAAGAAUGGAGUGCGAGGGUAAAAUCUACUUAUGCAUAUUUAAGACAAAACAGUCCAAAAAUAGUGCAGGCAUCAGAAGUUUCCAAACACUUCAGAAAAAAUCUUCAGGUGAAAGAUUCAAUGCACUGAGUGAUGGGCUCAUCAUGAAGCUGAGGAAGAUGGAGCCAAGCAGGCAGAAGAAUUGCUACAGUCAAAGUCCACACAG